UACGGAGGGUGCAAGCGUUAUCCGGAUUCACUGGGUUUAAAGGGUGCGUAGGCGGAUUGCCAAGUCCGUGGUGAAAUCUCCGAGCUUAACUCGGAAACUGCCGUGGAUACUGGUAAUCUUGAAUAUCGUGGAGGUAAGCGGAAUAUGUCAUGUAGCGGUGAAAUGCUUAGAUAUGACAUAGAACACCGAUUGCGAAGGCAGCUUACUACACGAUCAUUGACGCUGAGGCACGAAAGCGUGGGGAGCAAACAGG
rnacentral:misc_RNA from 1 species